GCUCCCUUCGUCUAGUGGUUAGGACACAAGGUUUUCAUCCUUGCAACAGGGGUUCGAUUCCCCUAGGGAGUG
rnacentral:tRNA from 1 species